rnacentral:rRNA from 1 species
CCCUUAGAUGUUCUGGGCCGCACGCGCGCUACACUGAUGCAUUCAACGAGUCUAAAACCUGGUCUGAGAGGGCUGGGUAAUCUUUUGAAAGUGCAUCGUGAUUGGGAUAGAUGAUUGCAAUUCUUCAUCUUCAACGAGGAAUGCCUAGUAAACGCAAGUCAUCAGCUUGCAUUGAUUACGUCCCUGCCCUUUGUACACACCGUCCGUCGCUCCUACCGAUUGAACGAUCCGAUGAAAACUGUGGAUUGAGAGUCUGAGUGGGUUCGCCUACCUCAACUUUCGAGAAGCGGUUUAAAUCUUAUCGUUUAGAGGAAGGAGAAGUCGUAACA